rnacentral:rRNA from 1 species
AAUCAACGCUGGCGGCGUGCCUCAGACAUGCAAGUCGAACGAGAAGGCUCCUUCGGGAGCCGGGAAGUGGCGCACGGGUGAGUAACACGUGGGUAAUUUACCUUCGGGUGGGGAACAACAGCCGGAAACGGCUGCUAAUACCGCAUAAUGCAGCGGCACCUAAUGGUGACAGUUGUUAAAGCGGGGGAUCGCAAGACCUCGCGCCUGAAGAGAAGCCCGCGGCAGAUUAGGAGUUGGUGAGGUAAUGGCUCACCAAGCCUGCGAUCUGUAGCCGGCCUGAGAGGGCGGUCGGCCACACUGACACUGAACAACGGGUCAGACUCCUACGGGAGGCAGCAGUCGGGAAUUUUGGGCAAUGGGCGAAAGCCUGACCCAGCAACGCCGCGUGAAGGAUGAAGUUUUUCGGAAUGUAAACUUCACAAGAUUGGGAAGAAUAAGUUUCAGCUAAUACCUGAAACGNUGACGGUACCUUUUGUAAGCUCCGGCUAACUCCGUGCCAGCCGCCGCU